rnacentral:lncRNA from 1 species
UUUUAUGGAGUAACCUCCAAGUAUCUUAUAUGAUGAGUCACGAGAAUAGAGUUGGUGCUGGACUUUUAUUAUGAGGCAUAAAACCACUCCUCAACAGACCUAUAUUCGUAUUGAGCAAACAAAGUUCGUGGAGGCAAAACAAUCCUUCUUUAUAAAUUAAUACAUUUACUUCCCAAAACCUUUGAUUUCUAUAACCAACUAUCAAAGUAUUUCCCACUAGAACUAUAUAAUCUCCUAAAUAUAUUCUCAUAAUUACUGUGUUAGUAAGCCUGGUUUGGGAAGGAAUCUUUGGAAAGGAAGGAUUGUAAAAGCCAUAAUCCAGCAAAUAAACAAGAGGAAAUCAGCUUCUAAAGGUAAUUUUUUUUAAAACCUUGAGCUUAGUAUGAAGGAAUAUAAGGAAAUUUUAUAGCUUGGUUUGCCUAUGUAAUAUAUUGGGAAUUUUGAUAUUUGAUUUCUAUAUGAAAUUUUCUUUGAUGUACGUUCUAUAAGCUAUGAAGUCUAAGUCUUAUAGAUGUGAUCACCAAGUAUAUGAUAUAAUACUCAAUUGAGAAGUUAUUUCUAAAACUUGAGAAUUAGCAGAAUUUAAUAGAUGUAAAUAGGGUUUGAUAUCAUAAAAUGGAAAUCUAAUUUCUGCUAAAAAAAGCUUGUCUGGGUUUCAACUCGAAGUGGCCUGGCCGCGCCACUUCUCAAGUCAAGACCAGCGCGCCGUGCUGGUCCUUAGAAAGUGAAUUUUUUUCUUUUUUUUUUUUUGUAUUUCGAGUUUCUGAGCAUAUGUAUAGGAGUCUUGUAUUCUUUAAUAUGUUAUAUUUGGUGUCCAAAUUAUCCAUGAAUGGAUUGGUCUAUCAUGUAUGAAUUAAAUAAAUUUUCAAAUAAUUAGCUAAGAGGAGUUUUGAAAAAUAAAAGUAUAACCUAGCUUAGCUAGAAUCAUUUGAAGAUGUGUAUAUGUACGAUGUGCUUAUAAUGGUUCAGAUAAUGUCUAGCUAUAAGGAAAUAGACUUUGUUUAUCAUGUUCUGACAAAGUUUCCAAAUAAAGAACUAAAAUUUAUUUUAAAAAGUCAACUUGGAAGUAUUUUAAUGGAGACCUGAUUUGGUCUAAAACACCCCGAUUUAUGUGAAUAAUAUGAUAGCUUUAUUUAGAAAGGAACCUAGCAUAAUAUGGGUUGAGCAGAGCAUGAAAUAGCUCAGUUCAUAGCCUUAGAUGGAGUAGCGCGACCGCGUCACUGCUAAGCUUAUUUUUAAUACGGCAGCGCCGUGCUGCUGAGAUUUCAAGACAGGUUUGUUAUUUGUCUAAACCAUGUAGUAUACCUAAGCAAGUCCCUUAAACUGUAAUAAGAAAUUAACUUAUGAAGUGCUUAGCUUGUUCAAUUAUAGAAUGACUAGUCUAAACAAAGAUUUUUAAAAAGAAUGGCAAGACGAAUAAAAGGAAAUAAAAAGAGCAAGAUUAAAAAUCAAUAUACGUUAACGAGUUACACUAAGUUAAUAUGAUUUGAAUAUAUGUGUGUGUGACUGAUAUGUGCAUAUGAACUAAAUUGGUACAGGAUAUGUGAAGCGCAGGUAACCGUACGUUGUAAUUUUUGCGCAAGGCAAGUCUUUCAGUUCCUAUUUGCUAUAUGGGCUUUACAUGAUUAUAUGAAUUAUAUAAUACAAUUGUGGAAUGAUGAAGGUCAAUGGUUGACUAAAUCUGAUUGAGUUUUGGAAACUCCGUCUUAAAUUUAUAUUUGAUAUUAAUGUGUUACAUAUGUUGCUUAAAUUGUAUUAAUCUUGAGAUAUGAUUUGGGCAUGUUAUUAUGUGAAGCAUGGAAAUUGUUAGAUUUGUUGAGCUGUCGAGCUCAAUCUUAUAAAAAUAAACUUUUUGCAGAUCCAAGGUUCAAUGUUAUACUACUUAUUAUCUAGAAGACAUGGAUAUGAAGAUGUGCAAUGGAAUAUUGUUUCCUUUAGUUGAAACUUAGAUGGUACUAUGAUGAUGAUGUACAAGAUAUAGAUGUAUAAAUUUCUUAAAUGUUCAAUGAAUGGAAAUAUUUGUUUUGAAAUGAGAAUGUAUUGUGGUUAUUGUUUAUAUGUAGAAUUAUAUAGGUAGCGCAUCAAUAUAAAAGAUGUUAAGCAUUGGGAAUUGAACUCUUAUAGUGCAUUUACUCUGAAAAAAUAUAGGGAAUCGUAAAGUUUGCGAUUCAGGGAACGCAAGAAAUAAAUAAAAAUAGAAAAAUUUUAAUUAUCCGCAUUUUCAGCUAUUAUUUUAUCUUUGUAUACUGUUAAGCUGAAUUUAGAGAGUAUUGAACGCACAAGAUCGAGAUUAAGUUAGUCCUAAUAUUGGAUUAAGUUGGUCUCGAUUUUGGGGACGUCACAAACACUGUAUACAUAAAUAUCUGCGAUAUUAAUACAUUAAGUUAAUAAUACAAAAGAUGGAUAAUAUAAUAAUAAUUGUGAAUAGUAUAGAAAAUUUUAAUCUUGAAAUGUAAACAAUAUAAAAAAUUAAUAUGUGGUAGAUUAAAUGUGAAAAAUAUGGAUAAUUAUUAUGUGGUAGAUUGAAGAUAAUUUUGAAAUAUGAAAAGUGUGGUAUAUGAUGAUUAAGUUUCGGCUAUACACAGAGGACUUAUCAUAAGGAGUUUAAUAACUUUCUUGCUUAUCAUUUCUUCCUCUAUCUAAAAAAUACUUAAUGUAGGUGUUUCUCUUAACGUGCUAAGGCUACUUUAAGUAUUGGUGAUAUCAGUAAAAGUGCAAGAAUUGUUCAGGUGAGUUUUUGUAUAAAAGUUGUAUAAACACCCACACACAUUUACAACUCUACAUUUAGAAGAUUCAUUUUGAAAAGCUUCCUCUAAAAGAUUGUUUUGAAAUAUUAUUUUAUUCAUUCAAAAACUAUUUUGAAAUUUAUUCUACUCCGUCUUGUACACCACACAAAUAUACUAUCAAGUCACUUUUGACCAUUACAUAGUAUACAAGUUAAUGUAAACCAUUAAACUUAUAUGUGAUAGUUACUAAUUAAAUUUUAAAUAUACAUAUAAGUUAAUCAACUACAUAAAAACAGUAUUUAGUCACAUGUUAAGGUAAGAUAUACCAUUAUGUUCACACUCCUAAAUUUAAACUUACUAUCGUAAGAAAUUAUUAUUCGUUUCUUCAACUCUUAACAUUAUUUAUCAAAUAACAAUUCGUUAAAGUUUCCUUAAUAUUUUUUGUUUCAUUUAAUAUCUUUUGACUUGAACCUUCUCUGUUGAAUCCUAACUAUAUAUUUGAAUUACGAACUUUUGGACUGUUAAUAUUUUGAACUUUUCACUUUCUAUUUGAACUUUGAACAUUUUAGACUGUUAAAUUUUCUUUAUACCGUGAAUUUUACGUUAAACUUCCUAUCUAUGAAUCUUGGACAAUACCCUUGGAAUUAAAUUCAUUUCGAUAUUUAGACAUCGUGUUGACAAUUUAGACAUAGUCUUACCAUUGUCCUUUCCUGAGGUUCCACAUUGUUCUAUCUUAACUGAAAUGUUUAAGCAAAGCAAUAAUGAGCAACAUAUAUAUACCCAUAAAGUAAUAUAACAAUAAAUAUUAACAUGUGUAUAUAAGUUCAAAAUCUCAAUUGCAAGACCCCAACUUUUAUGAAUAAAGUUUUAAUUUUCUCUAAAUAUAUAUUAUAUUGAGUAAUAAGGUGCGAAUUUUGUAUAAUUUUAUAGUUGUGGGUAAUAUUUAUAAUUUUUUGCAAAAUAUGCAAGUUGUCAUAAAAUAUUCGUUUGGUCGAGGAAUAUUCGUUUUAUCAGGGAUUAUUCGUACGACGGCACAAUCAUUGGUGGACCCCACAACGGAAUUACUGUCGCAGUUAGAAAAUGACAAAAAUAACUUUUUAUAAAAAUAACGGCAAAAGUUUUACCGUUAACUGUUGAAAUAAUCGGUGAUAAAAGUACAGUAAUACGCGUGACUGCAUAAUAGCACAUUGUAUUGAUUAUUGAUGCUUACGUGAGAAGUCACUCAGUUAUACUCAAUUAUUGUCAUAGUAAUUGCUGCAUAGUAUCUCAUAUUAUUGAUUCAAUUAUUGUCACAGUAUCAUCUGCACAAUAUUUUAUAUUAUUAAAUCAAUAUUGAGACGACAAAGUUAUUCAUAUUAUUAUUUGUAUUAUUGACGAUGCCUAGAAAGUUUUGUUGAGUAAAGGGGUUUGGUCACCUAAUUGCGCGCCAAUAAGGAGAAGUCCUUAUCAGAAAUUCCCAUCUUUCCUGGGAUGGUCAUGAUCAUACCAACAACUGUCCAUCAAUGCACUACGAGUCAAUGAUGACUUUUACCACAUCAUUUGUAACAUUACAGGUCAUGAUUAUACUGAUAUAUAAUUCCUGGUCAUAAUCAUACCAAUCAACAGUCCAUCUAUGCACUACGGGCCAAAGAUGACUUUCAUCACAAUAUAAGCAUGAGGAUGAUGACAAUGAUAUAAGAACCAAUCAAACGAAAUCAAUAAUAAAUAUAAAAGAUUUUUAAUUUAUCCAGAGUUUAAAAAAAUGUCCAAAUUGUCAACAUGAUAACUGCUUUGUGGAGUAAAAUUUAAGAAUAAUAUUCACGUAUCAAAAAUAAUUUGGGACAAAAAAAAAAUCAAUUUUUUGUCGUGAAUACUACCCCGGGUGAAUAGUACUUUGUAAAUAGUAUCGCACGUAUAAAUUGUACUGUAAGACCCCAAAUUUUAUGAAAUGAAAGUAUUCAAUUUUCUUAUAAUUAUUAUUUAGUAAAUGGUUAAUAAAAGGUUGAAGUUAAGGGAGAUAUGUAAAAAUUUUGAAAAGUAUGCAAGUUGUCAUAAAAUAUUCGAUUGGUCGGGGAAUAUUCGUACGACGACACAUUCAUUGGUGGACCCCACAACGGAGGUAUUGUCGGAGUUAGAAAAUGACAGAAAUAUCUUUUUAUAAAAAUAACGGCGAAAGUUUUACCGUUAAACUUUUGAAAUACCCGGUAGAAAAAGUACAGUAAUACGCGUGGUUGAAUAGUAGCACACGGUAUUGUACAGUAUCUUUGAUUAUUGAUGCUUACGUGAGAAGUCACUCAGUUUUAUUUAAUUAUUGCCACAGUAAUUGCUGAAUAGUAUCUCACGUUAUUUGAUUCAAUUAUUGUCAUAAUAUUUUAUAUUAUUAAAUCAAUAAUUGAGAUGACAAGUUAUUCAUAUUAUUAUUUGCAUAAUUAACAAUGUCUAUAAAGUUCUGUCGAGUUAAGGGAUUUGGUCACCUAAUUGUGUUCUAAUAGGGAGAAAUCCUUAUCAGAAAGCCUCCACUUUCCUGAAAAUGAUCUGAUUGUUAAUAUUGCGAGUUAUAAUAAUAAUGAAUAAAUGUUGUUAAAAAUAUUGAGGACAUUUUUAUGAAGUAUUUGUUGUAAUUUUGAUUAUUAUAUGGACCCCCUAUUUACCUAUUUUUUAAAAUAAUCGGUAGAAAGUUAUUCGGUAUAUAUAUAAUAAUAAUAGGUGGGGGCCACAUGUGGGCCCCACGUGUGCAAAAAUAAAAUUGAGGGGGGGAACAGAAUGUCACGUUACAAUUCUUAUAAUAUAUAUAUAUAUAUAUAUAUAUAUUAUAAUAAAUUUUGUUUAUUAUGAAAAAUAGAAUAUAUUAUAUUUUAUUAUGCAUAGUGUCUGCAUAGUAUUUGCAUAGUAGAAUCAAAAUUCGUCCGUGAAUUUCAAAACCUUCGCCCGCGAACCUUUUCUACUGUGCAUCCAAAUAGUAUCCUUUCCAUUCUCCUAUAAAUAAGAUGUUCAGUUUAGAAAAGAAAAUCAUAUCAGAAUCAGAGAAUUCUUCUUCUAUAAUAUUGAGCGUAAUUCUUUAGAGUUUAAGGAAGCUUUCAGUGUAGAAAAUAGUAAAAGUUUUCUUCAAGAAUAUAUCUGCUAUACCAGUUGAAAUUGCUCUCUUUUUGAGAUAAGGGGUAUUAUUUAUUUCAUAUUCAGAAAAGAUAUUAUUUUUCGUAUUCGUAUGAAUAUUAUUUUUGUUAAAUAUUCGUAUGAAAUAAUUUAUUCUUCCAUACUCUGUAGUAUGUAAGUAAUAUAAUUUCGUUUCGUAUUCCUAAUUCUACACUCAUUUUAUUAAAGUAUUGCUUCUAUACUCCGUGAAAUUAGUAGAAUAUCCUUGAAAUUUGCGAUUCAUCUAAUAUCGUUUCACAAGGAUAUUUUUCUGAACAUUCUUGUUAAAUUUUAAGUUUUUCAUGCCGGAUUACUAUUCAUUUAUAUGACACUAUUCAUAUGUACGACAUUAUUUAUACGUACAGUACUAUUCACAAAGUACUAUUCAUGGGCACUAUUCGUAAAUAAGGCACUAUUCAUAAAUACGGUACUAUUCACAAAGUACUAUUCACAAGGUAUUAUUCACAAAAUACUAUUCAUCAGGUACUAUUUAUGAAAUACUAUUCACGGAGUACUAUUCAUAAAGUACUAUUUACGAAGUACUAUUCUUGGGAUACUAUUCACUCAGGUACUAUUCAUCCGGGGUACUAUUCAUGACAAAAAUUAAUUUCUUUUAUGUCUAAAUCAUUUUUGAUACAAAAUUAUUCUUGAAUUUUACUCCACAAAGCAGUAUCAUGUUGACAAUUUAGACAUUACUGAAUUCUGGAUAAAUUAAAUUAUAAAUUUUUAAAAAUUUAUCCUUUGCUUUCUUUUAAUUGAAUUCUUAUAUCAUUGUCAUCAUCCUCAUGCUUAUAUUGUGAUGAAAGUUAUCUUUGGCUUACGUGCAUAGGUGGACUGUUGAUUGGUAUAAUUAUGAACAUGGAUUAUUUAGUAUAAUCAUGACCUGUAAUGUUACAAAUGAUGUGGUAAAAGUCAUCCGUGGUCCAUAGUGCAUAGAUGGACUGUUGAUUGGUAUGAUUAUGACCAGGGAUUAUUCGAUAUAAUCAUGACCAUUGGUGAAAACAUGAAUAUCCUUGGCCCGUAGUGCAUGGAUAAUUCGUGGUUGUGAUACUAAUAAAUAUCCUUGGCCCGCAAUGCAUGGAUAAUUCAGUGAUGUAUAUUAUUUAUUGAGCUGAGUCUCAGCGAUAAAAUUGAUGAUAAACUUUUAAAUUAUAGAAGAUAGUAGAUAUCAUGCUCUAUUUGACUCUUCUAAUGGAUUGUUUGUUCCGCUGCAGUUGUUGAUCUAAAACUUAUUUUCUAUUGUAUUCUAUCAGUUGUUAUACUAUUGAAGGCUAACGAUAAUUUAUUCUGCAUUAUCUUAGUCAUAAUAUUUUUUAGUGGGCUAGUUGAACUCACCCUUUUCUUUCACUGUUCUCUUCAGGAAAUGAGAAUAUAGCUGAGACUAGUCGGGGAAUGGAGUAACG